rnacentral:rRNA from 1 species
GUAGGGAAUCUUCCACAAUGGACGAAAGUCUGAUGGAGCAACGCCGCGUGAGUGAAGAAGGUCUUCGGAUCGUAAAACUCUGUUGUUAGAGAAGAACGUGCAUGAUAGUAACUGAUCAUGUAAUGACGGUAUCUAACCAGAAAGCCACGGCUAACUACGUGCCAGCAGCCGCGGUAAUACGUAGGUGGCAAGCGUUGUCCGGAUUUAUUGGGCGUAAAGGGAACGCAGGCGGUUUUUUAAGUCGGAUGUGAAAGCGUUCGGCUUAACCGAAGAAUAGCAUUGGAAACUGGAAGACUUGAGUGCAGAAGAGGAGAGUGGAAUUCCGUGUGUAGCGGUGAAAUGCGUAGAUAUAUGGAGGAACACCAGAGGCGAAAGCGGCUCUCUGGUCUGUAACUGACGCUGAGGUUCGAAAGCGUGGGUAGCAAACAGGAUUAGAUACCCGAGUAGUCC